rnacentral:rRNA from 1 species
CAAUAGCGUAUAUUAAAGUUGUUGCAGUUAAAAAGCUCGUAGUUGGACCUUGGACCUGGACAGGCGGUCCGCCUCACGGCGUGUACUGUCUUGCUGGGUCUUUCCUCUUGGUGAUCUGUUGUUUCGGCAGCAGGGAACCAGGACUUUUACUUUGAAAAAAUUAGAGUGUUCAAAGCAGGCUCGACGCCGGAAUAUAUUAGCAUGGAAUAAUAAAAUAGGACGUGCGGUUCUAUUUUGUUGGUUUUUGGAAUCGCCGCAAUGAUUAAUAGGGACAGUCGGGGGCAUUAGUACUCACAUGCUAGAGGUGAAAUUCUUGGAUUUUGUGAAGACUAACUUCUGCGAAAGCAUUUGCCAAGGAUGUUUUCAUUAA